rnacentral:tRNA from 1 species
GCGGGUAUAGCUCAGUGGUAGAGCGUCACCUUGCCAAGGUGAAUGUCGUGCGUUCGAAUCGCAUUACCCGCU